rnacentral:rRNA from 1 species
AACGCUAGCUACAGGCUUAACACAUGCAAGUCGAGGGGCAGCACGGGAGUAGCAAUACAACUGGUGGCGACCGGCGCACGGGUGAGUAACGCGUAUGCAACCUACCUAUCAGAGGGGAAUAACCCGGCGAAAGUCGGACUAAUACCGCAUAAAACAGGGGCACCGCAUGGUGAUAUUUGUUAAAGAAAUUCGCUGAUAGAUGGGCAUGCGUUCCGUUAGGUAGUUGGUGAGGUAACGGCUCACCAAGCCGACGAUGGAUAGGGGAACUGAGAGGUUGGUCCCCCACACUGGUACUGAGACACGGACCAGACUCCUACGGGAGGCAGCGGUGAGGAAUAUUGGUCAAUGGGCGAGAGCCUGAACCAGCCAAGUCGCGUGAAGGAAGAAGGAUCUAUGGUUCGUAAACUUCUUUUGCAGGGGAAUAAAGUGCAGGACGUGUCCUGUUUUGUAUGUACCCUGAGAAUAAGGAUCGGCUAACUCCGUGCCAGCAGCCGCGGUAAUACGGAGGAUCCGAGCGUUAUCCGGAUUUAUUGGGUUUAAAGGGUGCGUAGGUGGUUUUAUAAGUCAGCGGUGAAAGUUUGCAGCUUAACUGUAAAAAUGCCGUUGAAACUGUAAGACUUGAGUGUAAAUGAGGUAGGCGGAAUGCGUGGUGUAGCGGUGAAAUGCAUAGAUAUCACGAAGAACUCCGAUUG